rnacentral:rRNA from 1 species
GACGAACGCUGGCGGCGUGCUUAACACAUGCAGGUCGAACGGUAAGGCUCCUUCGGGAGUACACGAGUGGCGAACGGGUGAGUAACACGUGAGCAACCUGCCCUUGACUUUGGGAUACCAGCUGGAAACAGCUGCUAAUACCGGAUACGACCUCUUCUCUCAUGGGUUGAGGUGGAAAGCUCCGGCGGUCAGGGAUGGGCUCGCGGCCUAUCAGCUUGUUGGUGAGGUAAUGGCUCACCAAGGCUUCGACGGGUAGCCGGCCUGAGAGGGCGACCGGCCACACUGGGACUGAGAUACGGCCCAGACUCCUACGGGAGGCAGCAGUGGGGAAUAUUGCACAAUGGGCGCAAGCCUGAUGCAGCAACGCCGCGUGCGGGAUGACGGCCUUCGGGUUGUAAACCGCUUUCAGUAGGGACGAAGCUAACGUGACGGUACCUACAGAAGAAGGACCGGCUAACUACGUGCCAGCAGCCGCGGUGAUACGUAGGGUCCGAGCGUUGUCCGGAAUUAUUGGGCGUUAAGGGCUUGUAGGCGGUCCGUCGCGUCAGGAGUGAAAACUCGGGGCUUAACCCCCGAGCCUGCUUUUGAUACGGGCGGACUAGAGGGAUGCAGGGGAGAACGGAAUUCCUGGUGGAGCGGUGGAAUGCGCAGAUAUCAGGAGGAACACCGGUGGCGAAGGCGGUUCUCUGGGCAUUACCUGACGCUGAGAAGCGAAAGCGUGGGGAGCAAACAGGCUUAGAUACCCUGGUAGUCCACGCCGUAAACGGUGGGCACUAGGUGUGGGGGACAUUCCACGUUCUCCGUGCCGAAGCUAACGCAUUAAGUGCCCCGCCUGGGGAGUACGGCCGCAAGGCUAAAACUCAAAGGAAUUGACGGGGGCCCGCACAAGCGGCGGAGCAUGCGGAUUAAUUCGAUGCAACGCGAAGAACCUUACCUGGGUUUGACAUACACCGGAAAGCUGCAGAGAUGUAGCCCCCGCAAGGUCGGUGUACAGGUGGUGCAUGGCUGUCGUCAGCUCGUGUCGUGAGAUGUUGGGUUAAGUCCCGCAACGAGCGCAACCCUCGUCCUAUGUUGCCAGCACGUCAUGGUGGGGACUCAUAGGAGACUGCCGGGGUCAACUCGGAGGAAGGUGGGGAUGACGUCAAGUCAUCAUGCCCCUUAAGUCCAGGGCUUCACGCAUGCUACAAUGGCCGGUACAAAGGGCUGCGAUACCGCAAGGUGGAGCGAAUCCCAAAAAGCCGGUCUCAGUUCGGAUUGGGGUCUGCAACUCGACCCCAUGAAGUCGGAGUCGCUAGUAAUCGCAGAUCGGCAACGCUGCGGUGAAUACGUUCCCGGGCCU